rfam:Camelus ferus unplaced genomic scaffold scaffold1610, whole genome shotgun sequence.
GGAAGGGUACAGCUCAGUAGUAAAGUAUGUGCUUAGCACGCACGAGGUCCUGAGUUCAAUCCCCAGUACCUCCA